rnacentral:lncRNA from 1 species
AGAGAGAGAGUGUGUGUUAAGCUAGAAUACUCUCAAAAGUAUCAAGACGUUGGUGCUUUUAGAUCUGUAGCCUUUGGAUGUAGUGAUUUAGGGAUAGGAUGAUGAUGAUAGGUGGUAAGUAGGUGGAAUAGUGUUUGAUCCAAAAACUAUUAAUAGUCAAAAAAUAGAUCUAGGGGUUAGAAAUCUAAAAACACGAAGGGAUUGGUGUUUCUAGGUAUAUUCUAACUCAUAUAUAUAUAUAUAUAUAUA